AAAAUCUCCACUCUUUCCAGUCUCACUUGAGACCUUUCCUGCAAAAUGCCGAGCUACCAAGAGAAACAAAUUGUCUGGUUUCCCACUAUUGCCCAGAACCAGAAGCACCAAUGGCUGCCAUGAACAGGUCCUUUCCCUGCAUCCCGGGGGUGGCUUAGGGCUCCCUCUUAGAGGUAGCGCAGAAAGAUCCACCUGUGCAAAAUGUUCUAUCAAGCACCUCUGGAAUGUCUCUCUGCAGAUCAGCAGCUCACUACCUCAUGGAGGUUCCUAGUGGGGAGAAUGCUGCUUGGCUCUGACACAGAGGUAUCCUCUCUUCACCCCAUGAGCCCAGCCCAGUCACAGCCUCAGCCACGACACCUCCAUCUCUGCGUGACCAGUGCCUGGGACA
rnacentral:lncRNA from 1 species